GUGACACAGUAACAGAGGGAUUGAGGGCCUGCUCAGUGAGUUUACAUGUUAGAGGGAGUGGGGUAUAGUGACACAGUAACAGAGGGAUUGAGGGCCCUGCUCAGUGAGUUUACAUGUUAGAGGGAGUGGGGUAUAGUGACACAGUAACAGAGGGAUUGAGGGCCUGCUCAGUGAGUUUACAUGUUAGAGGGAGUGGGGUAUAGUGACACAGUAACAGAGGGAUUGAGGGCCUGCUCAGUCAGUUUACAUGUUAGAGGGAGUGGGGUAUAGUGACACAGUAACAGAGGGAUUGAGGGCCCUGCUCAGUGAGUUUACAUGUUAGAGGGUAUAGUGACAGUAACAGAGGGAUUGAGGGCCCUGCUCAGUGAGUUUACAUGUUAGAGGGAGUGGGGUAUAGUGACAGUAACAGAGGGAUUGAGGGCCUGCUCAGUGAGUUUACAUGCUAGAGGGAGUGGGGUAUAGUGACACAGUAACAGAGGGAUUGAGGGCCUGCUCAGUGAGUUUACAUGUUAGAGGGAGUGGGGUAAAAUGACACAAAAUGGUAAGGAUAGUAUUAGCCUGACAGUUGCAGAAGAGGAAUCAGUCGUUCGCUAUUAAUAGUUUAAUU